AGGACGAACGCUGGCGGCGUGCUUAACACAUGCAAGUCGAGCGGUGAUCCUCCUUCGGGAGGUGAUCAGCGGCGAACGGGUGAGUAACACGUGGGCAACCUGCCCCUCACACUGGGAUAACCUCGGGAAACCGGGGCUAAUACCGGAUACGACCUCGAGCGGCAUCUCUUGAGGUGGAAAGCUCCGACGGUGAGGGAUGGGCCCGCGGCCUAUCAGCUUGUUGGUGGGGUAAUGGCCUACCGAGGCGACGACGGGUA
rnacentral:rRNA from 1 species